rfam:Actinomyces nasicola strain DSM 19116 Scaffold23, whole genome shotgun sequence.
UCGGUUCCGGUUCACCGCGCGCGGCAGCAGGCCCAGCGGACCCGGCAUC